rnacentral:rRNA from 1 species
CCUACGGGAGGCAGCAGUGAGGAAUAUUGGUCAAUGGGCGCGAGCCUGAACCAGCCAAGUCGCGUGAGGGAAGACGGUCCUAUGGAUUGUAAACCUCUUUUGUCGGGGAGCAAAAGACGCCACGCGUGGCGUUCCGAGAGUACCCGAAGAAAAAGCAUCGGCUAACUCCGUGCCAGCAGCCGCGGUAAUACGGAGGAUGCGAGCGUUAUCCGGAUUUAUUGGGUUUAAAGGGUGCGCAGGCGGAAGAUCAAGUCAGCGGUAAAAUUGAGAGGCUCAACCUCUGCGAGCCGUUGAAACUGGUUGUCUUGAGUGAGUGAGAGGUAUGCGGAAUGCGUGGUGUAGCGGUGAAAUGCAUAGAUAUCACGCAGAACUCCGAUUGCGAAGGCAGCAUACCGGCGCGCAACUGACGCUGAUGCACGAAAGUGUGGGUAUCGAACAGGAUUAGAUACCCGAGUAGUC